UAUUGUAUGGGCUGGUGCUGUCACCUGGGUCCAGUGCUUCAAGAUUUUUACCACAGCAUUCCCUAUACACAUGAGCUAUUUGUCUAUUGGAGGUCCACUUAGUUCUCUGCUACCCGGAUGGCCACAUUGGAGCAGCUGGGAUGACGGUUCUCAUCACUCUCCAAAUUUAUUCUGCUUCUUUGUUAGUUCAUACUCUGCUUCUCUCCACUGCACUGUGAGCUCCAGGAGGCCAGCCAGGCACCCUGUUCCCCUUAUUCAGUGCAGUAUCCUCAGUGUCUGGGACUGGCCUGGUGCACAGUAGUUGCUCAGUGAAUAUUGCUUGAGCGAAUUAUUGCCCAUCCUUUAUACACUACCACUCCAAUGGCAACAAACACCUGUUUGGAAGAAGAGGAAGUUUCACAAUUCACAACCUGAAUUGUUGUGGGUUUAAUUGUGUCCCCCCCCCCCCCAAAAGAUACAUUCAAGUUCUAACCCCUGGUACUUGUGAAUGUGACCUUAUCUGGAAAUAGGUUCUUUGCAGAUGUCAUCAAGUUAAGAUGAGGUCAUACUGGAUUAGGGUGGGCCCUAAUUAUGACGACUGACAUGUCUGUAAGAAGAGGGAUGUUUGUACACAGAGACACAGGCAAACAGGGCAAAGAUGACGUGAAGACAAAGACAGAGACUGGAGUGAAGCAUCUGCAAGUCAAAGAAUACCAAAGAUUAUCUGACAGUAACCACCAGAAGCUAGAAGAGGCAAGGAAGGAUUUUUCCUUGGAGCCUUUGGAGGGAGCAUGACCCUGCUGAUGCCUUGUUUUCAAACACUGGGCUUUCAGAACUGUGAAAGAAUACACUUUUGUUGUUUUAAGCCACCCAGUUUGUGGUACUUUGUUACAAAAACCCUAGGAAGCUAAUGUGUGAAUGUUAUUACAGAUCAAAGAGACCCUUUGGGGAAUGAGAUGAGAAGACUUCUUACCUUUGCUUAAAAGUUUAGUUUACUUAUGGCUUCCACAGAAGAGCAAAGCAAUGUGUUUUUAAUCAUAGCAGAUUUGUCAGAGAGGUAACGGAUAAAGAUGGAAAGAGAGGGAAGUGUGUGCAAUCUACAGAGGCUUUCCCUUUGUGCCAAAGAGCCUCCUGAUCCUUGUCUAUCUGGUCUUCGAAUAUGGCCACCCAAAGUCCUUCACAUCCCACGGUUAGCUUCACUCAGCAGGUCUAACUCUUUGUUCUUUGGUUGCCCUUCACUUUGGAGCUUUAAGUUCUUACUUUGUGUGCCCUAGAUUUUCUGUUUCCAGAGAGACAAAGGGGUCUGCCAGAGGUACUGUGGUCCGUGUGUCAGGUAUGUGUUAGGACAAUUCCCCUCACAUUAAUUUUAAUCACUAAGGCCCAAAGAGUCAGCUGAAAUAGUACAUACGUUGUUCUGAAGUAUAUUUCUUCUUGUAAGGAAUAUUUACAAAUUCAAUUCAAAUAUUUUUGGAAUGCCAAUGGUUCUUGAUUCUGAAUUUUAGAUCCUUAAUAAGACUCCACUCACUCUGGAGCAGUGAUUCUUAGACUUGUUUAGGUCUAAGAAUCUGUCUUCAUCAAAGGAUCUGUUUGAUGGUCCUGAUGAUGUUAUGGAGUCUCUCCCCAGGCAGGUGAACAUCCACACAACAUCUUGAUGAUGCCUUUAGGCCCUGGAUUCCACAUUAGGAAACUAUGCUCUGCUCUAGGUGGAUCAUCUUCUCCCCCAUCCCAGCUGUCAAAAGGGGAAUCCACUUGAUCCUUCCACUGACUUCUCAGAAGAGAAAGGGGGUGCAAAGGAGUCCUGGCCUCCAGCUUUUGGGAACACAGUAGAUCUGACCUUUUGGUGGAUCUCAUCUGACUCUUUUUCCUUAAUUUACAUAGUUUACCAGUGUGAUGGUUAAUUUUAUGUGUCAACUUGACUGGGCUAUAAGGUGUUGAGUUAUCUGGUCAAAUAUUAUAUUGGGUAUGUCCGUGAGAGUGUUUCUGGAUGACAUUAACAUUUGAAUAUGUAGAAUGAAUAAAGUAGAAUGCCCUACUCAAUGUGGAUGGGCUCCAACCAACCAGUUGAAAGACUAAAUAGGACAAAAAGCUGAACCUCCCAGAAAUGAGAGGGAAUUCCUCCUGCCUGGCUGGCUUUGAGCUGGCCUUUUGGUGACUUUGGACCUCACCUGAAACAUUGACUCUUCCUGCAUCUUGAUCCUAGUGGCCUCCAGACUGGAAUUUAUACCAUCAUCUCUCCUGGGUCUCCAGCAUCUGACUGUGGAUUUUGAGACUUCUCAACCUCCAUAACCAUGAGACCCUAGGACCUUGACUUCUCAGCGAUGUUCUGUGAAUCACCCAGAUUCCUUGGUGGGUAAGAGGGGACCUAAGUGGAGGUCAUGAGGAGGAGACGAAGAUGGAAGAGGGAAUUGGACUUUAGACUUUAGGAUAUUUAUUCCAUUUUCAACCAGAGAAGUUUUGCUUUUAUUAAUUUCAUUUGAAAAAUAAAGGCUAUAAUUGGUGUGAAGAGCACUAGAUCUAAGGAAUCUCUGGGUAAAACAUUUGCAUAUGUCAAUCAUUUGGACUACUUUCAGUUUUAAUCAACCGGAAAUCCAAUUUUGAUCCUGCACAUGUUUGGAAAAAGUGGCCUGAACAUAGCUGAAAAGAGUUGUCAAAAAGCCCAUGAACUCGAUUCUCAGGAGAGGUCUGGAUCUACCUGCAGGUCCUUACUCGAUGGCCAGUGGACUUCAAAUGGCUUUAAAGAUAAGGUUUCUGAUUUAACAAUCCUGGUUACUAGAUUUCAACAGCAUAUAUCAGCAGAGAGCUAUUGGAAGCUGACAUGCUGCAAAGUCAUAGAUGCCACGGCAGAGGAACUGUGUUAAGACUUAGUCACCUGCUGCACUGGAAGGACUAUCUCAUAGUGGGGUGAAAUAUGGAGUCUAGACUCUGACAGGUUUGGGUUCAUGACCGAGUUUGGCCCCUUACUUGCUUUAUGACUUUGAGUCUCAGUGUUAUUGUCUGUAAAAUGGGCAUAGUAGUCAAGCUGUACUUGAAUCUGACAGGACAGCUCUUUCACAGAACUUCUGGACUUUCCCAGAGCUUUCCUGUCAGCCUGCUACAGAAGAAUCCUCUUGGCUGGUGGUUAAACAUAUAGAUCCUUCUACCCCCAGGCUGCCCGAAUCUGAAUCAUCAGGGGAAGGGCCAGUAAUAUGACCAUAUAACCGAAGCCCCAGUGGAUUCUGAGCUGCCCCACUUUAGAGGUAGCUUGAUAAACCCCAAUAAAGGUUCCUGGGGAACUAAAGAAUGGGGAAUUCCCAGCCUAUGGUGACCCUGGCCCCAUGUCCUUUCUUCCUAAACCUGUGUCCUCUCUAUUGGUAGAGGAGCAUCUUCCUUGGUGCUUUGAAAGUCACAACUCAUUACUGCUUCUUGUCAGGGCCAGAGUGCAACCAGUCAAAACCCCGUGAAGGUGAGUCACAUGGUUUUUUUUUUUUUUUUCUUUCCGUACUUAAGGGAAAGGCUAAAAGAAGCAAUUGAAUGCCAAUUAAGUGACUUUUAUAUCUAAGAGACCAGCAUGGAUGUCCCAUUAAAUAAAUAGUUUUAUUAAAAUGUACACUCAUGUGUA